rnacentral:rRNA from 1 species
ACGGGAGGCAGCAGUGGGGGAUAUUGCACAAUGGGGGAAACCCUGAUGCAGCGACGCCGCGUGAGUGAUGAAGUAUUUCGGUAUGUAAAGCUCUAUCAGCAGGGAAGAUAAUGACGGUACCUGACUAAGAAGCACGGGCUAAAUACGUGCCAGCAGCCGCGGCAAUACGUAUGGUGCAAGCGUUAUCCGGAUUUACUGGGUGUAAAGGGAGCGUAGACGGCAAGGCAAGCCAGAUGUGAAAGGCUGGGGCUCAACCCCGGGACUGCAUUUGGAACUGUCUAGCUAGAGUAUCGGAGAGGUAAGUGGAAUUCCUAGUGUAGCGGUGAAAUGCGUAGAUAUUAGGAGGAACACCAGUGGCGAAGGCGGCUUACUGGACGAUAACUGACGUUGAGGCUCGAAAGCGUGGGGAGCAAACAGGAUUAGAUACCCUGGUA